GGGUGAUGAUCUUUCAGAAGGGAUGCAAGGGAUGGUAGAGAUUUGAUCUCCACAACUUAGGAGGGAUUCUUCGUGCUAAGAAAAUAGUGCCCAAGAACUCUCCAUGCAAGGGAAGAGAAGACUUCAUGGAAAUAUCAGAUCUAUUUUUUAUCGUAAAGAUGCACCCAUAAGGAAUCAAUAUUCCAUGCCAAUAAAUAGUGCCCUGCCUUUUAUUUUUUGUCGCACAAAACC
rnacentral:lncRNA from 1 species